rnacentral:rRNA from 1 species
UACGUAGGGUGCAAGCGUUGUCCGGAAUUAUUGGGCGUAAAGAGCUCGUAGGCGGCUUGUCACGUCGGGUGUGAAAGCCCGGGGCUCAACUCCGGAAUUGCCUUUAAGACUGCAUCGCUAGAAUUGUGGAGAGGUAAGUGGAAUUCCGAGUGUAGAGGUGAAAUUCGUAGAUAUUCGGAAGAACACCAGUGGCGAAGGCGACUUACUGGACACAUAUUGACGCUGAGGUGCGAAAGCGUGGGGAGCAAACAGG